rnacentral:rRNA from 1 species
GACGAACGCUGGCGGCGUGCCUAAUACAUGCCAGUAGAACGCUGAAGAGAGGAGCUUGCUCUUCUUGGAUGAGUUGCGAACGGGUGAGUAACGCGUAGGUAACCUGCCUUGUAGCGGGGGAUAACUAUUGGAAACGAUAGCUAAUACCGCAUAACAAUGGAUGACACAUGUCAUUUAUUUGAAAGGGGCAAUUGCUCCACUACAAGAUGGACCUGCGUUGUAUUAGCUAGUAGGUGAGGUAAUGGCUCACCUAGGCGACGAUACAUAGCCGACCUGAGAGGGUGAUCGGCCAAACUGGGACUGAGACACGGCCCAGACUCCUACGGGAGGCAGCAGUAGGGAAUCUUCGGCAAUGGGGGCAACCCUGACCGAGCAACGCCGCGUGAGUGAAGAAGGUUUUCGGAUCGUAAAGCUCUGUUGUAAGUCAAGAACGGGUGUGAGAGUGGAAAGUUCACACUGUGACGGUAGCUUAACAGAAAGGGACGGCUAACUACGUG